GAUGAACGCUGGCGGCGUGCUUAACACAUGCAAGUCGAACGGAGAAAGGGUAGCUUGCUAUCUUUUCUUAGUGGCGGACGGGUGAGUAACGCGUGGGUAACCUGCCCUUUGCAGGGGGAUAACAGUGAGAAAUCACUGCUAAUACCGCAUACCAACUUCUUUCGCAUGAAAGAAGUUUGAAAGAUUUAUCGGCAAAGGAUGGACCCGCGUUGGAUUAGCUAGUUGGUGAGAUAACAGCCCACCAAGGCAACGAUCCAUAGCCGGCCUGAGAGGGUGAACGGCCACACUGGGACUGAGACACGGCCCAGACUCCUACGGGAGGCAGCAGUGGGGAAUAUUGCACAAUGGGCGAAAGCCUGAUGCAGCGACGCCGCGUGAAGGAUGAAGGUCUUCGGAUUGUAAACUUCUAUCAGCAGGGAAGAAAGGGCCUAUGGCCUAUGACGGUACCUGACUAAGAAGCCCGGCUAACUACGUGCCAGCAGCCGCGGUAAAAGUGU
rnacentral:rRNA from 1 species